rnacentral:rRNA from 1 species
CUCCUACGGGAGGCAGCAGUAAGGGAUAUUGGUCAAUGGGGGAAACCCUGAACCAGCAACGCCGCGUGAGGGAAGACGGUUUUCGGAUUGUAAACCUCUGUCCUCUGUGAAGAUGAUGACGGUAGCAGAGGAGGAAGCUCCGGCUAACUACGUGCCAGCAGCCGCGGUAAUACGGAGGGUGCGAGCGUUAAUCGGAAUUACUGGGCGUAAAGCGCUCGUAGGCGGUAUGUCAAGUCAAGGGUGAAGUCCCCGCGCUCAACGUGGGAACUGCCUUUGAAACUGGCAAACUGGAGUGUGUGAGAGGA